rnacentral:rRNA from 1 species
CCUACGGGGGGCAGCAGUGAGGAAUAUUGGUCAAUGGCCGGAAGGCUGAACCAGCCAAGCCGCGUGAAGGACGAAGGUGCCAAGCAUUGUAAACUUCUUUUGUCAAGGGACAAAAUCAGGCUCGAGAGCCUGACCGAGGGUACUUGAAGAAAAAGCAUCGGCUAACUCCGUGCCAGAAGCCGCGGUAAUACGGAGUCUGCGAGCGUUAUCGGGAUUUAUGGGGUUUAAAGGGUGCGUAGGCGGGCUGGUAAGUAAGCGGUAAAAGCCCGGGGCUCAACCCCGGCGAGCAGUUGAAAGUGGCUGUCUUGAGAUGUCGAGAGGUAUGCGGAAUGCGCAGUGUAGCGGUGAAAUGCUUAGAUAUUGCGCAGAACUCCGAUUGCGAAGGCAGCAUACCGGCGGCGAUCUGACGCUGAGGCACGAAGGCGAGGGUAUCGAACAGGAUUAGAUACCCUUGUAGUC